UUGAUCCUGGCUCAGAAUCAACGCUGGCGGCGCGCUUAACACAUGCAAGUCGCACGAGAAAGUGGAGCAAUCCAUGAGUACAGUGGCGUACGGGUGAGUUACACGUGGAUCAUCUACCUUUUAGUGGGGAAUACCCCCGGGAAACUGGGUAUAAUACCGCAUAAGCUCGUAAGAGGAAAGCAGCAAUGCGCUGAAAGAGUAGUCCGCGGCUGAUUAGCUAGUUGGUGAGGUAAUGGCUCACCAAGGCGAUGAUCGGUAGCCGGCCUGAGAGGGCACACGGCCACACUGGCACUGAAACAUGGGCCAGACUCCUACGGGAGGCAGCAGUGGGGAAUCUUGCACAAUGGAGUAAACUCUGAUGCAGCGACGCCGCGUGAGCGAUGAGGCCCUUCGGGGUGUUAAGCUCUUUCGACGGGAACGAUAAUGACGGUACCCGAAGAAGAAGCUGCUGCUAACUACGUGCCAGCAGCCGCGGUAAUU
rnacentral:rRNA from 1 species